rnacentral:rRNA from 1 species
GGUACUCGAGCGGCGAACGGGUGAGUAACACGUGAGUAAUCUGCCUCUGGCUUCGGGAUAGCCACCGGAAACGGUGAUUAAUACCGGAUAUGACAUCUUCACGCAUGUGAUGGGUGUGGAAAGUUUUUUCGGCCAGGGAUGUGCUCGCGGCCUAUCAGCUUGUUGGUGGGGUAAUGGCCUACCAAGGCUUCGACGGGUAGCCGGCCUGAGAGGGUGACCGGCCACACUGGGACUGAGACACGGCCCAGACUCCUACGGGAGGCAGCAGUGGGGAAUAUUGGACAAUGGGCGGAAGCCUGAUCCAGCAACGCCGCGUGAGGGAUGACGGCCUUCGGGUUGUAAACCUCUUUCAGCACAGACGAAGCGCAAGUGACGGUAUGUGCAGAAGAAGGACCGGCCAACUACGUGCCAGCAGCCGCGGUAAUACGUAGGGUCCGAGCGUUGUCCGGAAUUAUUGGGCGUAAAGGGCUCGUAGGCGGUUUGUCGCGUCGGGAGUGAAAACACCGGGCUUAACUCGGUGCUUGCUUUCGAUACGGGCAGACUAGAGGCAUUCAGGGGAGAACGGAAUUCCUGGUGUAGCGGUGAAAUGCGCAGAUAUCAGGAGGAACACCGGUGGCGAAGGCGGUUCUCUGGGAAUGUCCUGACGCUGAGGAGCGAAAG